rnacentral:rRNA from 1 species
UGCGUAGGCGGUCGGGUAAGUCUGAUGUGAAAUCUUCAAGCUCAACUUGGAAACUGCAUCGGAUACUAUUCGGCUCGAGGAAUGGAAGGGAGACUGGAAUACUUGGUGUAGCAGUGAAAUGCGUAGAUAUCAAGUGGAACACCAGUGGCGAAGGCGAGUCUCUGGACAUUUCCUGACGCUGAGGCACGAAAGCCAGGGGAGCAAACG